rnacentral:other from 1 species
AAGAAGCUACUUUGUGCGUAUUGUUAAUUAAGUUUUAACCUUUAAGCUGUAAUAGGGAGUUUUAUAUCGAAGCUGGAAUGUCAUGCCUCCAUUGUAGAGGACGACAGGAACGUUUCUGCAAACACCCACUUUGAGGAGUGGUGGUUUAAAACUUUCUUACUUGCAUACGGCAAGAUGUAGCGAAAGC